GAUGAACGCUGGCGGGGGGCCUAACACAUGCAAGUCGAGCGGUAACACUUCGGGUGACGAGCGGCGAACGGCUGAGUAACACGUUGGUACCUGCCCUAAACUCAGGGAUAACCAUUGGAAACGAUGGCUAAUACCGGAUAGCUCGCAAGAGUAAAGAUUUAUCGGUUUAGGAGGGGCCUGCGGCGUAUCAGAUAGUUGGUAGGGUAAUGGCCUACCAAGUCAAUGACGCGUAGCUGGUGUAAGAGCAUGACCAGCCAGAGUGGGACUGAGACACGGCCCACACUCCUACGGGAGGCAGCAGUGAGGAAUCUUCCGCAAUGGGCGAAAGCCUGACGGAGCCACCCCGCGUGCAGGAUGACACCCUUCGGGGCGUAAACUGCUUUUCUGAGGGAAGAAGAUCUGACGGUACCUCAGGAAUAAGCAACGGCUAAUUUCG
rnacentral:rRNA from 1 species